CGCUGCCUCUGAAAUCCCUCUCCUCUCCAAAUUCUCUCUAACCCUCUCAAAAUCCUAGCUUCUCUCACCGUCUUGUACCUUAAGCUCACCGGAAAUCAUGGCUACUCUGGCCAUGAUAACCUCAUACCCUCCCUCUAUUACUCUUGUGUGUUUGAUAUUUGAAGAAUCAGGGCCUUGACCUCGAUGGUUCCCUUUCAGAUCUUCUUAGAUCUGUAGAUCUAUGGUUUCUCGGCCAUUACUCUGGCAUAUUCAAGCAAUAUGAGUGUUUUUGACUCAGGAUCGGACUUUUCUCAAGACCUUUCUCAUUUCUAGGUUUUCUCUGCAAUCCUAAGCUGUUCGAAGUUAUUUACUUGCUUACUUUCUUAGAUCUAGAACAUAUCUAUGUUCUAUCGAGCUUUUUAAAGGUUUUCCUCAAACUCUCUUUUAAAAAAAUUGCUUCUCUUCGAAUUAGGGUUUUCUGAAAGAUUUAAAAUGUUUAUCCGACUUUUCUUUUCCCUUUAUUUGUGUGUAUUUGUUUGCUACUGCUUUCAUAUGUUUCCUUUUACCAUACGUGUUCUUCUGUUCUUCUAUAUCUUUUGUUUUCCUACUGUAUUUCUAUACCAUGCUCACAUGUUUGUCUCACUAUGUUGCUUUCAUAUGUUUCCUUUUACCACACGUGUUCUUCUGUGCUUCUAUAUCGUUUUCCUACUAUGUUUCUAUAUCAUGCUCACAUGUUUAUCUCACUAUGUUUUCCUAUAUGCUCUUUGCUAUACUUUUCCAGUGUUCUUGUAUUCUCCUACUGUAUUUCUUUUACUAAGUCCUUAAGUCCCUUCUGAAAGGUUUCUUAAACAUGUUUCUUCUACUAUCAUGUUGCUCUUUUAUUGUGCUUUGAGUUAGUUCCUUCACUCUGUUUGCUUAGAAUUUUCAAUUGUACUUGCUUGUCUUCUCAUGAGAUUCUGAAAUGUCUGAGCAUGUUGCUCCUCAUCUCUGUAUUUGGACUCGAGAUGGAAACCCUAGAAUUUGAGGUUCCCACCAAGUUUGAUCAUGUGAUUGAAUUAGGGUUCUGUUUGAGAACCCUUGACUCCUUAGACUAAUCUCUGAGCCUAUGAACCGG
rnacentral:lncRNA from 1 species